UCCUCUUACUCCGGGGUUCAGGCUUCUGCGCCCCUGGUCCGCGGUCGCGCGCAGCCCCCGCGCCUCUCCAGCCCUGAGCUCUCUGCGGCCUAAUGUGGACGGGCAAGCGUUGCCAUGACAGCGCCGCGGGUGGGGAUGCGGGAGGCUGAGCGCACCGGCCAGCUAGCCCCUUUGUGCGGCGGGGGCUGCGGAGUGCUCCCUCCAAGACCGGUUGCACCCCGCUUUCCUGGCCAGGACUCUGGGCGCGGCAGCUACAAAGACGACGCCGGCUGCGCUCGCGGGACCAGAGGGAGGGAGGCUGCGGACGAGUGCGGGGAGGAGUUUGAGAUGGGAGGCGCUUGCAGGGGCUCCCCCAGUUCUGCGCUGUGAGCCGGGGCACAAAGAGCCCUCUGCACUAGCGCCGCAGGACCGCGGACCCGAGUUGGAGGCAUCUGUCCACCCAUGUGGUUCCAGACACGUUCAUGUGGCCACCAUGACCCCGUCGGCAUCACAGGGGUAACCAAGGUCCACAGAACGAGGGGAAAGGGUCACUGUGGAUCAAGCCAGGCUCCUCUGAGCAGUCCAGGGUCUAUUUACAGAGAGCAGCAAGUUCCUGGGACAGAGGAGACAGAAGGGAAUUUCCAGGUUCUUCAGGACGUUCACAACCACACUGAGAAGCAUCUUUGCAGAUAAGUAUUUAAACUUACCAGCCCAUAGCCUACCAGCCUGCCCUCUUCUGGUCUGUGCAGGAAAGUGUAGUAUCCUAGAAUGCCAAAGUGGGAGGGGAAAUGGGUGAUGUAGCUCAUUCUCUUUUCUACCUCUAUGGAAGAAAGAAAGAGCCUGUCCCCAUUUUGUGGGGUCCCAGAAAGGGUGAUUUUCACACUUCACAUUUGGCGUUAGGGCUAGUAUUUCACAAACAUUACCGUCUGGAACUUUUGAAGGCUGAGUUAAAUGACUUCAUCUUGUGUACUUGUAGAACUGCUAUUAGAAGGAGGCUGGGGACUCCCUGAUGAUGUGAACCAGCCCUUCUCUUCUCAGUUUCAGCACUUUGUGAUCAUAUUUAUAAACCUUGGACAGGGCUCCUUGGCCUUAGAGUUAAGUGAAGAGUUAACACUGUGACUUUAGAUGCAUUUUUCUCAGUGUAAGUGUCUGAGCUCAUCUCCAGUUCUGGACUCGUGCCCCCACUCCCGGGUGCUGACAGCAAGCUCUGAAGAUAUGCUGAGAGAGCUCCCUGACUCUCCUGACUCAGGUCUGCCAGUUGAUGAAGACAGCACAGUUGUUACCAAAAACAAAACCUGGCAGAUGGUCCUAGGUCAGGAUUAGUGGUCAUUCUCUGGUCUUCUCCAGACUGGUGACACAGGGUGGUCUUAAAAGAGUCCUAGUCCAGCCUCUGGCUCCCCGAAUUUCCUCUGGUGCAUGGGGCAUCAGGAAAGGGCAGGGGAGAAGGAGGGGGAGCAGAAAAAUAACUGAGGCUGGGCAGAAGGGUCCCUUCCAUUUCCCAUCCAUUGCUUCAAACAAUGGGUGAUUACCGUGCACCUUGAGUGAAUGUCAAGGCAGGAAGGGUUCCAGGGCCACCCAGUGUGGCAGGAGCAGAGCUGGGAUCAGAAUUCUGGAUUCCUGACUCUCCGUUCAGCUGCUAUUCAGCUAUCACCAAGCUGCUGAGUUUGUCCUACUUUCUCCUGGGUCACAUUCUGCUGUUGUUGGGAAACAGGGAGUGAGUGAAGGGAACCUGGGAACCCUUCUCCCCUCACCUUUUAAGGAUGUUCUGGGGUGGAAUAAAGAGAGGUGGAGGGUGGGGUGCCUGGGCCCAGCCUCCCUGGCUCCUGGUCCUUCUUUCUUCAGCAGGGAGUUCUGGCAAGGCCUGGGCCUGGGGAGGGGGCCUGGGUGCAGUUUUCUCCUGCGGUGUGGUUGGCUCUUUUGUCUUCCAGGAUGGGCCUGUGGGGUCUGUGUGGGGAAGGAAGGAGCUGGGAGCCUGGGCUGCCUGUGUGUCGGCUGGAUGCUGCCAGCACCGGCAUGGACCAAGCAACUUCUCUGAGCCAGAUGCUGGGGACGCAGAGGUGAACCCAGAGACAUGAUCCCAUCUGCUCAGAUCUUCAUGUCAGAACACGCUUUAUUACAGUCUCGGCAAGGGGGUGGCUCCAUCUGGGCCGCAUCUCCAGGACUCCUGGCCUGGACUUCUCUUUGGACCUCGGGUGACCUUGGAUUCUGGCCACAGUGACUUAGCGGUCAGACUCCGGUGGUUUUCUAGCCCGCUGGGUGACUCCCUGAAGAUCUCAUCCUCUUCACACCUGUUGGGAUGGAGCCUCCCAUGGAUAGGAACUCUUCCUGGUUGAUGCUCAGCAGAUGACUGAUCUGGCUCUGGAGGACAGCUCCAGGGAAUGCGGAGUGGUGUGUACUAUUCAUCAGCUUGGGCUGCCACAGCACCAUGCCAGACUGGAUGGCUUAAACAUCAGGAAUUUAUUUUCUGCCAGUUCUGGAGGCUGGAAAGUCCAGAUCAAGGUGUUAAGACUUGGUUUCUGGUGAGGCCUCUCUCCUUGGCUUGCAGGUGGCACCUUCUCACUAUGUCCUCACAUGGCCUUUUCUCUGUGGAGAGGGACAGAGAGCAUGAGCAGGCUCUGGUGUCUCCUCCUCUUCUUAUAAAGACACUAAUAUCACCAUAUUAGGGCUUAAACCUAUGACCUCAUUUAACCUUAACCCCUUAAAGGUCCCAUCUCCAAAAACAGUCACAUAGCAGGCUACUGCUUCAACAUAUGCAUUUGGGGGAGGGGACACCAUUCAGUUCUUAACAGGGUGGUCACCGCAAACAUGGAAAGUCAGAGCCUUCUCCCCUUCAGAAUUCCCGCCCCCACCCAGGGAUGGGGAGGAGGAGCAGAGAGGUAUGGGAAGCAGACACGGAGAGUGGCAGGUACCAUGCUGGGGUGGCUCAGGAGUGCUUCGGAGGACAUAUGGAACUGGCAGGGCUCAGUGCAGGGAGGCGGAGGCCCUGGGAGAGCCGUGUCCUGAGAAGGGCCUGGGCUACAACCCUGGGCAAGUUACUUCACCUCUGAGCCUCCGAUGCUCUGUGAAAUGGAAGGAAUGUGCUUGCCUGUCAGGUGCAGGGAGAAUUCAGUGAGAUUGUGUGCCUAGCACAGUGCCUGACUCCCAGUAGGUGCUCAGCAAAUGCUCCCAUCCAUCUGGGAGUAUAGACUUAGGGUUUAUCUAUUUUUUUUUUUUUUUGGCUCUCUGGACUUUAAAACUCAGCAUCUUCUGAACCAGAGGCAUUUCUGAUUAGCCCUUCCCUACCUAUUUUCCUAGUAUCACUCUUUAAUCAGCUUGGGGAGGUGGCAGCAUUUCAUGGCCUCCGUAGUAACUCACAAUGCUUCCUGGGGUAUUUAAAUUCUACUCUCUCAUCAGCACUGAGCACCUACUUUGGGCCCUUUCCCGUGCUAGCCAUUUGGGGGAAAUAUAGGUGAAGAGUGGCUGGGGUUUGAACCUUUAGGAUUUCACAGCCAUGCUGGAUGGGAUAAAACCAGCUCACAUGGAGAAUCAGAGAAUGGGACAGUGCCACAAAACAGUCUACUGAGGCACAAGUUCUGAGUGCCUGGGAAGUGGUAGAGAGACCCCAGAGAGGGCUGCUGCAGUCUGGAACAGCUUCCUAGCAAGCUGUACCAAACAGGGCCUUGAAGGAUGAGAAAGAUCUGGCUGAGAUGAUACCCGACCCUCUAGGGAAAUUCUUAAAGUAACUUCUAGGAAAUGUCAUUGCUCCUUAAAAAAAAAAAAAAAAAAAAAAAAGCAGGUUCUAAUUCAAAUUCCGCUGCACUACUGAAGUAGUGCAGGACUUAUCAGAACCUUUAAAAUGCUAAUGGCAAUUUCAAAUACUCAGGGACAGGGCAUAGGAUGAAGUGUUCCUUGACUUUUAUGGCCGUAGAAUCUUUUUCUCAUGGAACAUCGUUUAGAACUGUGGGAGAUGCUAGGCUGGGGUUUCUAUGGGAAAAGUACAGCAGUGAUAGAAGAUGGCAUAAUUAGGGUACACUUAGGUGCUUUGUAGCAUUGGCUGAAAAGGAAGCAGACCGGGUGGGCGUGGGGGAGUCUCAACUUGGUUCCAGGAGCCAGGCCAGCUUGAUGCGUUUUUUUUUUUUCUAAUGGUGGGAGGGCAGGCCAAUAGUUGGAGAAACUAGAGGCCUGACAGUCGGUGAUGGAAGAGAUGUCUACUAAGCACGGUUGUCAGAUCUUUUGCGGAGAGAUGCGGGUGUGCGUGUGUCUGUCAGAGUGUAACAGGAUCCAGCCCUCUGGGAAGGGGCUGACCAGAACCAGGCAGGGGGUUUCUGUCUAGGACAAGUAGGGUCCAUUUUCAGGGGAGCUGAAAUAUUUGCAGGGGGUGCUCUGAGACCCACAGCCAAUAAAUAGGGAAGCAACAUGCUUUUGGGCAGGGUCCAUGUGGUUAGGGUUGAUUUUGAUGGGGCUGGGGGGCUUAGAGUUAGACCCCCUGCCCUGGUCAGGCCCCACUCCCUGGCUGGUGGGGGCGGGAGGCCUCUGAAGCUGCAGCUGGAGGGGCCGGGGCAGUGUUGCAUGGUGUGAUUAACCUACUAACCCAGGGCUCAGCCGGGACGCUGUGGCGUGUGACGAGGUGCCUGGCCUUCUGCCAACCAACUAACCCACUAACCAGGCCCGAGCAUGCCCUACUAACCACCCCCCCGCAGCCAGAUCCUACUAACUGUGCAGCUCAUGGGCCUUUCAAGGGGCUGGGAUAUGGGGGCAGCCAAGGCUCCAGAAGGCUCUGCCUAUGGGCUGGGAUCUUUGUGCAGACCCACGUUCCAGGACAGAGAAUGCAAAUAAGACUCACCAACUCUGCCACUUCCUGUUGAGUGAGUUUGAGUAAGUCACCUCACUUCUCUCAACCUCAGUUUCCUCAGUGGUAGAAUGCGAGUUCUGAUACCUUACAGGAAGGCCCCUCAAACCUGGUUGAA
rnacentral:lncRNA from 10 species